ACCAGGCUUGCAGACGCUUGUGAAAAGUACUAGCUACAAAAUUGGCAAAAUUGCCUGCUACUGUAUACAUAGCGCGUGUGUGUGUAUGUUGCUAACCUAGCUAGUUAGCUAGCCAUCAAUAAAGUUCCUAAUGUUACAACAUGGCAGACGGCUGGAGCACCGAUACCGGAGAGGCUGCCUAUCGUUCCCGGGAUGCUGUCAAAAACCUUACAAUUAAGAUCCGUAUUCAGAGAGUCACCUCCACAGCAGCCCUCUCCCAACACCUUCAGCAGCAGGUUUGGACUCAACAGGAGAGGGGAGGCAUUGAGCUGGACACCCUCAACUCAGGCUCAAUCAGGUGUUAACACUGUUUUGAAACAGCAAGAUGAUGUUAGAUGUUUUGAAACAGAAAUAUGUAAGAUGCUUCUUAGUUGAGUAGAUGUAAUUUUCGUGGUGGCUAGAUAUGGACCACAACAGCUUGGUUUUGUUUUCAGCCAUAAAUUAUGAUGAGGAGUUAGUGGUAGGCUGGCAGGAGAAGCUGUUCAGUCAGUGUCCUUAUAACAAAUAAGCAUUUACUGUUUAGGAUAGUUUGAUGUUGCAUAGUAAGGUGUGUGUGUGUGUGCACAAUAUGAAGUGGUUUUGUUCCAGAGUGAGUCAGUAUGCCAGACUCCGCUGGAGAGACAAUACCACACAGAGAUCAUGGCUCAGGAGCGUACCAGGGGCAGAUGGAACUGCAGGAUUUUCACCUACACUGAUUCUGACUGCUACACCAAUUGGGAAGGGGUGGCUUUCAACAGAAUCUCCAUUUCUGUAACGGUUCUGUAACCAAAGACUCUGGGAGACGGGAAGCAAGUAUAGGGGGAGGAUUUAUUAAUAAAUAGACAUGAAACUAAAGACGAACAGAGUCUGGACAAGAGAAACAAAACAACAUCGAUGCAGACAUGGGAAUGAAACUGAGGAAGUGACAGAUAUAGGGGAGGUAAUCAAUGACGUGAUUGAGUCCGAUGAAGCGCUGGUGCGUGUAAAAAUGGUAACAGGUGUGAGUAAUGAUGAGCAGCCUGGCGACCUCGAGCGUCAGAGAGAGGGAGCUGGAGCAGACGUGACAAUUUCAUUAUUCAAAACAAAGCAUUUACCUAUUUUCUGUCCAAAAGAAACGUUAGUGUUUUAAAGCUGUUUUUGAUAUAUUCACUACAGCAUUCCCAGAGUAUGGUGACGCAGGUCAAGUCCAAUCCUACCUUACUGGCACAUAGGAUGGCCAAUGUCAGACACAGACGACAGGACAGACGCCCAGUGUAGGUCCCUGUUACUCACCAAAGUGAAUUAUUAUUAAAGUGAAUGUAAUUGAAGCAGCAUUGAUGCGUCGUGCUGUUUUGAAGACAAACAGUGUACCGGUAUGUUCACAUUACACCAUACCCUUGUAUGCAAAAUGUGUUUGUGAUAUUCUGUUGGUCUGCAGUGACCGCACCAUCCCCAAGUCCAGGCUGAUUACCUGGGACCCCUCGGAGGACUUUGUGAAGACCAGCCACAUGGUCAACACACCUGUACAGACCAUGCACAUCAUGGGGAACCUGGGACCAGCGGGCAAACUUGGCUAAAAGGAGAAGGAAUGCUUGUCUGCAUGAUAAGAGCAGAUGGAAAUGGAGUGGUUACCAUCAAACCAGACUUCAACAAAGGCAAGGAGCCCUACAGGCCAGUGACCCGCACCCGCUGAAGUCAAAAUGUUUUACCCCUAGCUCAAGUUGAGACGGAGGGGGAGAAGAGGGAGGUGUGGCGUCAGACCAGAGGAGACGGAACAGCAACAGUGCAUAUAUAGACCAUUAUGUACGUCAUAAAGACUACCUCAACAGCUUGGUUGGCCAGGACUGAAAUGAUAUCAGCAAUCAAUCAACAAGACUAAUGAAAUGGGGCAAAUGAAGACAUUAGAACUGCUAAAGUUUCCCCUAGAUACAGAUCUAGGAUCAGCUUCCCCUCCCCAAACCUAACAAGGACCAUUCGCGGGGGGAAUUCAAAUCUGAUCCAAAGCCAGGGUCUAUUUGGGGAACUUGUCCCCUCCCCCACAACACGACAGGUGGAUGCGGCUUCCUCAGUUCACCAUGCUCAUAAAGAAAACAGCAGUGUAUUUCAGCUGACUGGCAGAGACGGUGCUAGAAGGGAAGGUUUGAUUUGGAGAGACAGUUGUUGCUGUCAUAGGCAAGCCUGAGAAAGAACUGAGAAAACGUAAUAAAGAGUCAAGACAGACACCAGAAAGAGGCCCAAGAAGACUUGGAUGCAGGAACAGAGGACAGCGAGGGAUGUUCAGAACUCACUCAGUCCGGUUUGGAGAAUGACUUCUCAACCCAAGACUAAGAGCAGCUGUGAGAAAGCAUCAGUUUGGAAGCAUUUGGGAAAAUGUAAAGUGCUAAAGAAGGUUCCUGGCAAAGAGGAUUGACUGUUAUGGGUCAGAGCCAGCUCUCACAAACAGAACAUGGAAAGACAUGAAAACCUGGUGCACAACAAAAUGCAAACAGAAAAGGCUCUCCGCAGCCGGUAAAAGGCUAGCAUGCCACGAAGAUGAAGUUCACACAGGUGAAUGGAAGAGUUGUUUCCUCCGACACAUUGGUGUGGCUGGCUUCCGGGUUAAGCGGGCAUUGUGUCAGGAAGCAGUGCAGCUUGUCAGGGUCGUGUUUCGUGGAGGACGCAUGGCUCUCUACCUUCGCCUCUCCCGAGUCCGUAGGGAGUUGCAGCAAUGAGACAAGACUGUAACUACCAAU